rnacentral:lncRNA from 10 species
UUUUUAGUAGAGACGGAGUUUCGCCAUGUUGGCUAAGCCGGUCUCGAACUCCUGACCUCAAGUAAUCCGCCCGCCUCGGCCUCCCAAAGUGCUGGGAUUACUGGAGUGCGCUACCGUGCCCGGCCUAAAGUCACAUUCUGAGGUCCUGGGGAUUAGGGCUUCAACACAUGAAUUUUGGGGGAACAUAAUUUAGCUCAUGACACCACCAGUCACCUUCUAAGGCCGAAUUCAAAUGCUGUCUCUUCCCCUUAGCUGGAAAUCAUCACCCCUUCAACACUGUUGUAAUAGUUUAUUUGUACCUUUCUUAUGGCUCCUAGCACUAUCUGUUCUGUUGCAAUGCAAAAGGAUGAAAGUAACAGUGGCUGCUGCUUAUGGGGCUUGAUAGUUACUAUGUAGCUGCAUGUAUUAAUUCAAGCCUCACUGUGAGCUUACCAUGUUUUACCAGUGACCUUUUGAAUCUUCACCAGAACACUACAAGGUAAGUAUGGUUAAUCAUCCUCAUUUUACAGAAGAGGGAACUGCAACAGGGACAGAUUAAGUUGUAUACCCAAGGUCACACAGCUACUAUGUUGCACAGCCGGUACUCAGACUCAGGUAGUCCAGGCUUCAGAGUCUGUGCUGUCACCACUACCCUCUACUGCCUUUUCAACACAGAUUUUGGGAACCUACUCUGUCUGGUUCGGGUCUUCGUGUUGGGGGUACAGAAGCAAACAAAUCUGACCAAAAAUCCCUGCCCUCUUGGAGUCUUGUGGCGAUGGUAUGGUUCUGGAUUUUUUUGUGGUGGGAAUUACACAAAGCUACACGUGUGAUAGAAUUUGCCAAGUGUGGUGACUCACGUCUGUAAUCCCAGCACUUUGGGAGGCUGAGGCGGGCGGAUCACCUGAGGUCAGGAGUUCGAGAUCAACCUGACCAACAUGGUGAAACCCCGUCCCUACUAAAAAUACAAAAAUUAGCCAAGUGUGGUGGCGCGCGCCUGUAAUCCCAGCUACUCAGGAGGCUGAGGCAGGAGAAUGGCUUGAACCCGGGAGGUGGAGGCUGCAGUGAGCCGAGAUCGCGCCACUGCACUCCAGCCUGGGUGACAGAGCGAGACUCUGUCUCAAAACAAACAAAAAAAAUUAGCCGGGCAUGCUGGUGCGUGCCUGUAGUCCAAGCUACUCAGGAG